rnacentral:rRNA from 1 species
UACGAAGGGGGCUAGCGUUGCUCGGAAUCACUGGGCGUAAAGCGCACGUAGGCGGAUUGUUAAGUCAGGGGUGAAAUCCUGGAGCUCAACUCCAGAACUGCCUUGAUACUGGCGAUCUCGAGUCCGGGAGAGGUGAGUGGAACUGCGAGUGUAGAGGUGAAAUUCGUAGAUAUUCGCAAGAACACCAGUGGCGAAGGCGGCUCACUGGCCCGAUACUGACGCUGAGGCACGAA